GGAUUGCCUCAGUAACGGCGAGUGAAGCGGCAACAGCUCAAAUUUGAAAUCUGGCGCCCCUGCGCGGGGAGUCCGAGUUGUAAUUUGUAGAGGAAGUUCCGGUGUCGGUCCCGGGCCAAGUCCCUUGGAACAGGGCGUCGUGGAGGGUGAGAGCCCCGUACGCCCGGGCAGCCGUCGCCGUCCGGAGCUCCUUCGACGAGUCGAGUUGUUUGGGAAUGCAGCUCCAAGCGGGAGGUAAAUUUCUCCUAAGGCUAAAUAUCGGCCAGAGACCGAUAGCGCACAAGUAGAGUGAUCGAAAGAUGAAAAGCACUUUGGAAAGAGAGUCAAAAAGCACGUGAAAUUGUUGAAAGGGAAGCUCUUGCCGUCAGACCCGCCGCGGUUGCUCAGCCGCCCCUCGGGGCGGUGUACUCUUCCGCCGGCGGGCCAGCGUCGGCUCGGGCGGCCGGACAAAGGCCCCAGGAAUGUGGCCCCCCUCGGGGGGUGUUAUAGCCCGGGGUGUAAUGCGGUCAGUCCGGGUCGAGGAGCGCGUUCGCGAGGACGCUGGCGUAAUGGCGACAAGCGACCCGUCUUGAAACACGGACCAGUAAGUUUUCAAUGUCUUCCCGCCGCUUGACGGGGCCGUAUGGUGACCAAUCGACCGCUAACUUUUAUUUGCAGAGGAGUCUAACGUCCGCGCGAGUGUUUGGGCGUCAAACCCAUGCGCACAAUGAAAGUAAACGGAGGUGGGAACCCCGCGAGGGGCGCACCAUCGACCGAUCCUGAUGUAUUCGGAUGGAUUUGAGUAGGAGCGCGAACGUUGGGACCCGAAAGACGGUGAACUAUGCGUGUAUAGGGUGAAGCCAGGGGAAACUCUGGUGGAGGCUCGCAGCGGUUCUGACGUGCAAAUCGAUCGUCAAAUAUGCGUAUAGGGGCGAAAGGUAUGGUCUUUCUCAUACAUUCCUUAUGUUUAAAAGGGUCUUUUAAGAUGGAAAGCUAACUUAAAUCCUAUAGACUAAUCGAACCGUUCUACUAGGCGGUUUAGAGAUGGGCCGGGCGUAAAAGACGCCGGGAUAUAUCUAGCUAGCCCUGGGGCCUUGACAGCCCUGGGAUCAACGUGAUCAAUCUGCGGGGACGCUCCAUUAAAUAGGGGCCCUAGCUACCGCGGCCGUGUGGCGUUCUCGCCAUGCGGUGCAGCACUAAGACAUAGGGGCUUAGGGACGGUAAUAACGCUAGAGGUCCGGGGGUAAUCCGCAGCCUCCCUUCUUCUCUAACGCCUCGCUUUGAGGUUGCGGUUUAGGGGUUUGGUUCACAGACUAGAGGAUCACGGGUGCCGUUGAGGCGCCUAAGAUAUAGUCGAAGGCCCCCGAAAUUAACGGGCUUACUUAUUAUGAGGCGUGGAGCAUGAUAGCUAGUAGCUGGUUCCCGCCGAAGUUUCGUAAGUCGCAGCUACCUUGUCCCUAACAUCCUAUGGGUAUACGCUAACAUAUGUCCCUACUGUAGCCUCAGGAUAGCAGUGACGUCUUCAGUUUUAUGAGGUAAAGCGAAUGAUUAGAGGCCUUGGGGUUGAAACAACCUUAACCUAUUCUCAAACUUUGAAUAUGUAAGAAGCCCUUGUUGCUUAGUUGAACGUGGGCGUUCGAAUGUACCGUCACUAGUGGGCCAUUUUUGGUAAGCAGAACUGGCGAUGCGGGAUGAACCGAAAGCGGGGUUAAGGUGCCGGAGUGGACGCUCAUCAGACACCACAAAAGGUGUUAGUUCAUUUAGACAGCCGGACGGUGGCCAUGGAAGUCGGAACCCGCUAAGGAACGUGUAACAACGCACCGGCCGAAUGAACUAGCCCUGAAAAUGGAUGGCGCUCAAGCGUCCCACCCACACCCCGCCGCCGGGGCAGGAACGAUGCCCCGGCGAGUAGGCGGGCGCGGGGGUCCGUGACGAAG
rnacentral:rRNA from 1 species